UUGUUUGUGGUGUGUGUGA
rnacentral:snRNA from 1 species